rnacentral:tRNA from 1 species
GGGGUUGUGGCUCAGCGCUAGAGUGCUCACCUUGCAUGUGAAAGGCCCUGGGUUUGAUCCUCAGCACCACA